rnacentral:tRNA from 1 species
GGCCCCUUGGUCGAGUGGUUAAGACACCACCCUUUCAAGGUGGUAGCAGGGGUUCGAUUCCCCUAGGGGUCACCA